GCCUGGGUGGCUCAGUCGGUUGAGCGUCCGACUUCGGCUCAGGUCACGAUCUCACGGUUCGUGAGUUCGAGCCCCGCGUCAGGCU
rfam:Felis catus isolate Cinnamon breed Abyssinian chromosome B3, whole genome shotgun sequence.